rnacentral:rRNA from 1 species
UACAGAGGUCUCAAGCGUUGUUCGGAUUCAUUGGGCGUAAAGGGUGUGUAGGUGGCGCGCUAAGUCGGGUGUGAAAUUUCGGAGCUUAACUCCGAAACUGCAUUCGAUACUGCGGUGCUUGAGGACUGGAGAGGAGACUGGAAUUCAUGGUGUAGCAGUGAAAUGCGUAGAGAUCAUGAGGAAGACCAGUGGCGAAGGCGGGUCUCUGGACAGUUCCUGACACUGAGACACGAAGGCCCAGGGGAGCAAACGGG